CCUCUGCAUCAUCAGGGUAGAUUUGAAAUUAUUAAGGCUAAUUCACCCCACGAUUCAUCCCCCCUCUAGAAGAACACGAGGGUUAAAGUCAACGGAGAUAUCUCAAACCAAGAAAAUCAACGGCGUUGACUAUGCACUCGAGUCCUCUGCAUCUAGAUCAUCAGGUGGAUUUGAAAUUAACGGCUGAGCUCGCCCACGAUUAAACCCUCCCAUAAAGUCAACGGAUAACCCAAACCAAGAAAAUCAACGGCGUUGACUAUGCACUCGAGUCCUCUGCAUCUAGAUCAUCAGGUGGAUUUGAAAUUAACGGCUAAGCUCGCCCACGAUUAAACCCUCCCAGAAAGUCAACGGAGAUAACCCAAAACCAAGAAAAUCAACGGCGUUGACUACUUAUUUCCUAAAAGGAGGUGGGACUGUAAUU
rnacentral:lncRNA from 1 species